UACGAAGGGGGCUAGCGUUGUUCGGAGUUACUGGGCGUAAAGCGCGCGCAGGCGGUUCUUCAAGUCAGUGGUGAAAGCCCGGAGCUCAACUCCGGAACUGCCAUUGAAACUGUAGAACUUGAGGAUGAGAGAGGUGAGUGGAAUUCCCAGUGUAGAGGUGAAAUUCGUAGAUAUUGGGAAGAACACCGGUGGCGAAGGCGGCUCACUGGCUCAUUUCUGACGCUCAGGCGCGACAGCGUGGGGAUCGAAACAGGAUU
rnacentral:rRNA from 1 species